rnacentral:rRNA from 1 species
CCCUUAGAUGUCCUGGGCUGCACGCGCGCUACACUGAUGUGUCCAGUAAGCACCUAACCUAUUCCGAGAGGGGCGGGUAACCUUAGCAAAGCACAUCGUGAUGGGGAUAGAUUAUUGCAAUUAUUAGUCUUGAACGAGGAAUUCCUAGUAAGCACAAGUCAUCAGCUUGUGUUGAUUACGUCCCUGCCCUUUGUACACACCGCCCGUCGCUCCUACCGAUUGAAUGUUCCGGUGAGCUCUUCGGACUGCGCGGUCUGCAGUUUCUGCGUUCCGUGCGGAAAGUUGCGCAAACCUUAACAUUUAGAGGAAGGAGAAGUCGUAACA